rnacentral:rRNA from 1 species
ACGCUAUCACUCCUACGGGAGGCAGCAGUGGGGAAUAUUGCACAAUGGAGGAAAACCCUGAUGCAGCCAUGCCGCGUGUGUGAAGAAGGCCUUCGGGUUGUAAAGCACUUUCAGCGAGGAGGAAAGGGUGUAAGUUAAUACCUUACAUCUGUGACGUUACUCGCAGAAGAAGCACCGGCCAANUCCGUGCCAGCAGCCGCGGUAAUACGGAGGGUGCGAGCGUUAAUCGGAAUUACUGGGCGUAAAGCGUGCGCAGGCGGUUUGUUAAGCGAGAUGUGAAAGCCCCGGGCUCAACCUGGGAACCGCAUUUCGAACUGGCAAACUAGAGUCUUGUAGAGGGGGGUAGAAUUCCAGGUGUAGCGGUGAAAUGCGUAGAGAUCUGGAGGAAUACCGGUGGCGAAGGCGGCCCCUGGACAAAGACUGACGCUCAGGCACGAAAGCGUGGGGAGCAAACAGGAUUAGAUACCCUGGUAG